CAUCGAGACGUGAAGAGUGACAACAUCCUUCUCAGAACCGACGGUUCUGUCAAACUGGCUGAUUUUGGCCUCGCUACUCAGCUCACCCCUGAGCAGAGCAGACGGUGCUCGGUAACCGGGACUCCUUGGUGGAUGGCGCCUGAAGUGGUGACAGGUCAACCAUAUGGCCCCAAAGUGGACAUAUGGUCUUUUGGAAUUGUGGGAAUUGAAAUGAUAGAACAAGAACCUCCUUACUUGGGCGAAAGUUCUGGCACGGCUACAUACCUGAUAGCCACAGUAGGGACUCCACAGCUGCAGCAGCC